CGCGCGGGAGAGAGAGAGAGAGAGAGAGAGUCCGUUACGAUACGCUGAAAAAAAACAACAUGGACGCCAAACGAGACAAGUUUGAACGGGAGAGCAAUACUCGUCUGCAUGCCCGAAACUUUCAGAGUAGAGAUUUGAUUGUUGCAUGAUAAAGAGAGACAAAGAUAUGCUGAUUAUGAUACGUUGAGAAAGAGCAAUAUGGAUGCUAGAUAAUAAGUUUGAACGGGAAAGCAACAUAUUCGUCCACAUAGGCGAAAGCUUCAAAGCAGAGACUCGACUGUCGUGUUCGUUACCGUUCGCUGAGAAGAAAAAAGACAAUAUGGACACCGAACGGGACGAUUUGUUUGAACGAGAGAGCAACAUUCGUCCACAUCGCAGCGACUUUCACGCGUAACCUAAAUAUGAC